CCGCCACCACGCCGCGCGAGCACCGCGCACGCCCCCGUCUUCGCUCUCUCCCCAGAAUCGCCUCAAUCCCUGCUCUCUCCUCGCCCCAUCCUCUCGAUCUGGUGCCGCCAGAGGCUCCAACCCCAGGCCCAACGCCGGCGGCGAGGAGGAGUUCCUCCUCGUCCCCGCGACCCGCCUCGCCGCCGAGCGCUCCGACGACGCGCCCGGCCAGCCUGUGCUCCUCUCCCGCGUCUUCAAGUCCGAGCGCAUCGAGCUCUCGGAGGACCGCCUCAUCGCGGCCAGCACCAAGGGCUUCCGCAUGGUGCGCGCGACCCGCGGCGUUGUGGCAGGGGCGUGGUACUUCGAGGUCAAGGUCGUGCACCUCGGCCCCACCGGCCACACCCGCCUUGGAUGGGCCACCAACAAGGCUGACCUCCAGAUGCCCGUCGGCUUCGACGCCUAUGGGUUUGGGUACCGUGACGUCGAUGGCGCCAAGGUGACUAAGGCUUGGAGGGACAAGUACGCUGAUGAAGGGUACGGGGAAGGAGAUGUCCUGGGGUUCUACAUUUCUCUGCCUGAUGGGGAGCGGUAUGAACCGAAGCAGCCUGACCUGAUUCAGUACAAGGGAAUGCCUUUUCACGUCCAAGUCCCCAAGGAGGAGCAGAAGACGCCGGAUCCUGUCCCUGGUACCCUCUUCUGAUCAAUCGAAAUAGGCAAUUUGCAUUGCCCUCUUCUGAUCAAUCGAAAUACAGGAAUGUUUCCGACCUAUGUUGCAACGGCGGAGGAGGUGAAACAUUAUUUUGGUACAAGCUCGACACCGACACCGACACCGACAAGGCUCUAUAAUAGCAAAUAUCUUUUGCUUUCUACUUAGAUGACAUCUAUUAAAUAUAAAUUUGUGUACAACAAUUUCCUGCCAGGUCAAUGAAUCUGAUCAAUGAAGGGUAAGUAUUUAUAUUUCUUAAUAUAUUGGUUGAUCAUUCAGAGGUCAAUGAAUCUGUCCGGUAAGUCCUCCUUGAUUUGUACAAUCUAGAGUGGAGUGGUCCUCUAAUCGGUACAUUUUUUGGUAAUUCCACAAAAAAAUUUUGGAGUGGCCAUCAGUGACUAAAUGUUCUUUCUGAAUUUGGAUCUUUGCUAGCAAGAUUAUUUGCUUGCUCUUCUGCUUCCAAAAGUUCACAAAAUGGAUAGAUAGUUCCAGUUAAUCUUAGUCCAUUAUAGGUAUGGUGAUGCUUGCAAAGGCUCUAUUUUCAUUUGAACUACUAUACACCACUUUAGGAUGGGAGUCGUUUCAUUGAAACAUGAGUUUUUUUAAUCAUCAAGAUUUUGGAUUAAGUGUUAGUACUUAGUAGAAAUGUGAUAUUAGUAUAAGGCUAAUUACCAGUUUGUUGCAAUCAAUGCCACCUAUGGUUGGUGUUUCUUUAGUUGCUGAUGCAACUGAGGAGCUCGAGCACGACACGAUUAACUCGGGAAUUUUAUGUAACGUUGAUGCAAGGACACUGACUUUUAUCAUCAGAAAGACUUCCUACUGUUGUUGGUAUGGAUUCUAGCAGCUGGAUUUUAGUUUUUGUAUUUGGUGAACUUUGUUCAACACACUCGUUGAAGUUAACAGUAACAGAUACAAGUCUAUUAUCCUGAUAUUUUUAAUAUGCAUUUGCAGGCAUUAGCAUAAAUCAUAUGAAGGAAGUAGAUUCACAUGCACCCGUGAAGCAGAAGCUACAAUUAUUUCCAAUAAAUGAAGCUACUCUUAAGCCAUUUGAGAAGGUUGAUUUAUUAGACAGCCCUAUUGCCAGACUACCUGACAUAGAGACCACAACACUUGGAGCCACAUAUGUUGCUAGCUUAGAUGCAGGAGUUUGGACCAAGGAACAGUUAUUUGCAGGUUAGCACAAGGAGAACGCGACAGUCUUUGGCCCAAAACUGGAUGAAGCGCACAAGAAGAAGAGGGCUGAUUCAUGGUACAAGACGGUUUCAAAUCAUUCGAUUUGGCUGACCUUUCUCUGUAAAUGUUUCUUGUCCGCGCUGCUCUAUCUGUUUUUAGAAGAUGCAAAUGAAUAAAUUGGUCUUUGCUGGUAUUAUUCUUAACUACUUUUUAUUUACUGUCUUUACAAAAGCGAGUACAAGAAUAUCCUCAAA